CCCCCAAUAAUUAAUAACAUAUAAUAAUUUAUGUUCCAAAAGAAAUCCAUUACUUCGCUGAUCAAUAUGUCGUGACAGUAAAAUCUAACACCGGAAAUAGCCCUAGAAUUUGCCAUAUGCAACUUCUCCAAACCAAUAAGUGUUCUAAACUAAUCCUGCAUUUCAUCAACAUUUGUCAAAUAAUAUUUUCUAUUAAAAUCCUUGGUUAG
rnacentral:lncRNA from 1 species